GAAAUCUUAUUUUCAAAAGAUGAGUACAAAAAGCUUGCUUCGCAUGCAAGAGGCCGUGGGUUCAAAUCCCAUCGCCUCCACCA
rnacentral:tRNA from 1 species